CAAUAUUGCGUGUGCUGCUACA
rnacentral:miRNA from 17 species